rnacentral:rRNA from 1 species
AGUGUUUUCCGCACCGGACCGUGCACAAGUUCCCUGGAACGGGGCGUCAUAGAGGGUGAGAAUCCCGUAUAUGGCACGGACUACCGGAGCUCUGUGAUACACUCUCAAC